GGGCUGGUGAGCGCUGGGCACCUGGGCCGGGAACCUCCCCGCGGCGGCGGCCUCCGGCCCCCGGCUCUGGUCCCGGUCCCAUUGGCCACUCCGCUGCUACUGGAAGGUAAUCAUAGCCUCCUGGUAUCGCACAUCCAUGGGAAUACUGAAUUUAUUUGGACUAGAAACUAACACCUGCUGGAAUGUCACCAGAAUAGAACCUCUUAAUGAAGUUCAAAGCUGUGAAGAUGCUGUCUUCGCAGUGCCAUGCCUACAAUGGCAAGCGUGAAGCUGUCUACACUUCAUCCCAUUGUGAAUCAUCCACAUUACGAAGAUGCAGACUUGAGGUUGGCGGCCGAUGAGUAUUUCAUCAAGACUCACUUGGUGACUCCCAAUUCUUAGGAAUUGGGGAAAUUUUUACACACACAUACGCAUAGACACACAUACACACACACAAACUCGUCCUCAUUUUCAUGCUGGAAGUUAAAAAAAAAUGACAAUAACCAUCCAGAAAUGACAAUACGUACCUGUUGCCUCUGGAGCAAGCAGACCUCUGAAAACUGAAAAAUGCAAAAGCCAGUUUUUCCCAAAGUGACAAUUGUGUCACAUAUUUAUGAUGUGUGUGUGUAUUCCAGUAAAACUACUAGGUAAUUGGAAGAGGAGGUAGGAUGGAUUUUACUCGCAGUCGUGUUUUGCCAACCCCUGCUGUACACCACAAGCCCCACUCUGAUUUAAGAAAUGAUUUCUAGAUCUUACUGGUGGCCAAUGACUAGCUUUUUGUGACAGGUAGAAAAAGUACAUGAAAGUUGCUAUUAUACACUACGUGCUUUCAUGAAAAUUUAGAGUAUUUUUGCUAGCCGAUUAUGAGAACUCUAGUUUCCAUUGAUGGCUAAAAGUUUUGCUUUCCUUAAAUGGCUGGUUUAAAAAAUUAUUUUGGAUAUUCUAGUAAUUUUCAGGGUAAUCUUUUUUUAAAGUGGAUUUUUGGCCUAUUGUUAGAGGCAAAUCUUUAAAUUAUUUAUAAGUUUUAGGUCUGCUGUCUAGGAGCCAGGGUUGGAGUCAGACACCUUAGAAAUGUACCUGAUGCUCUCUCUGUUCUACUGUGGUGAACUGGCAUGGAAACCACUGUGGUGACUGAGCAUCCCAUAUGCUUGAAAUUCUAAGCAACAUCCAAUGCAUAAGUGAUAGUUUGUCAGGAUUUUGUAAGAACUCCCACUACGGUCAAAUCACCUAUUGUACCAUAUUUUGGUGACCAUCCCCAUUUCUCAAGAUUCUGUGAAGGUGCUUUUCCUACCUCUUCUGACACCCUGGAUGCCCAUUGUCUAAGUGUUCUACUUGAUACACUCAAUUUCAAUUCAUGUAUUUGUCAGAGCUUCUUUAGAUGAAAUUAAGCAUUGAAAGAUAUGUUUUCACUACAUUCAGUCUCUGUCAGAAUAUAUUCUCUGAAAACUUGGUGAAUUAUGAGAAGAAAAUUUUAUAUCCUAAGCUGUUCUCUGCUCCCAGGACAGCUUUAGACUAUUUUAUAUACUAAUGAGCAGUAUAUGCAAAAUUAAAAUUGCUGUAAGUUUUAUUACAUUCAAAAUAUAAGUAGGAAUGUGGAAACUGCCAUCCCCAAAAUAGUUGAUGCUGUUUUGAGUCAUGUAUAUCAGUGUUCCAUCCCGUGAGUACUGAGAUUUCAAUUUGCUAGUACGAUUUUUUUAGUCUAUUCUAUUAUCAUUCAUUUUAAAAUCUUUUAAACUAUUGUUUAAAUUUAAAGGGCCCAGACAAAAAUAGUUUAUUCUACAUAUAGUCGAAAAUCUGCCAAAGAAGUAAGAGAUAAAUUGUUGGAGUUACAUGUGAAUUAUUAUGUUUUAGAAGAGGCAUGGUGUGUUGUGAGAACUAAGUGAGUAUUAACCCUAUGCUAUCUGAUAUGGUAUAUUUUUAAGCAACAAAUGUUUCACUUUAUUACAGUAGUCCUGAUUCUUUAAGAAAUUUUAAUUUAAAUUCAUUAAAAUAUUAUCCCGGUAUCUUAGUUUAAAUUAUUUCAUCUAGAGAAGUAAAAUUAUACUAUCAAUGAAGUAGAAUUUAAUUCCAAACAUUAUAGUAUAUUUUAAUAUCCUGAUUUUUCAAUUUAACAUCUUCUACUUAGUUUUUUUCAUAAUUUUUGAAAUAUUUAUGAAAAUUUUUAUUAGAUAUCUGAAAUAUGGAUUUGAAUUCACAACAAAGUGAGAUAUUGGCAUUCUGUAUUAUAUAGUUGAAUUAUAUUGGAUUUGUAAGACUUGAAAGUGACAAAAACCAAAAUGACAUAAUAAGAAAAACUUCCUAAUUAAAAUUUUUUAAUUUCUGAAUUUUGAAUCUCUAAAAAUCAUAAAAUUCUAAGAUGGGUAAUGGAUCUUUUGAGUCCUUUGUUUAGACUCCUAAGCAGAGAUAUUAGCUGCUGCACAUGACAGGAAAUUCAGGCACAUUAAUUGUCUCCUAGAAUGAUACAUUGGCAAUCAGAAGAACAAAACAGGUUCUACAGUCACUUCAGGAUAUCAUUUACAAUGUGCAAAAAGUUUCAGAGAUGCAAACUAAAAUGAGAAAGUAUGACCAACACUCUGAAAAAAAUAAGUUAAUAGAAACCGAUACAAGUAGGUCCAGAUGUUGGAUUUAGCAGCCAAAGACUGCAAAGCCACUAUUACAAAUACAUUCAAAGGCUUAAGAAAAAUAUAUUCAACGAAUUAAAAGAAAACAUGGUAUCCAUGAGUGAAGAGAUAUGGAAUCUCAGCAGAAAUAGAAACACUCCAGCCCCCAUGGGAAUUCUAGAGCUGAGAAGUAUAGUAAAUGAAGUGAAAAUUAUUUAAAUAUGCUCAACAAUUUUGAGAUGUAAACAGAACAUUUGAACAGAAAAUUCAGUGAAUUUGAAGAUAGAUCAAGAGAGAAUAGUUAAUCAAAAGAACAGGAACCAAAAAGGUUGAAAAAUAACCAAAGUCACAGACCUACGUAACAUUAAGUAGUUCAACACAUGCAUAAUUUUAGUAUUAGAUGUAAUGAAAAAAAGAACAUGACAGAAAAAUGUUCUUUUCUGUCCAUGUUCAUGGACAACAUUGAAGAAAUGUUGUCCAAAAAUUUCUCAAGUUUGAUAAAAACUGCUAACUUAGAGAUCUGCUAAGCUCAACAAAUCCAACUGGGUGAAGCCCAAAGAAAACCAAAGCAAGGCACAUUAUAGUCAAAACGGUAAAAUCAAAGAUUAAGAGAAAAUCUUGAAAAUAAGAGAAAAAAUGAUAUGCUAUAUAAACAUCUGACUUCUCAACAUAAAUAGUGGAAAUUAACAGACACUGGAAUGAUAAUUCAAAGUGCUGAAGAUGAAAAAUCAAGAAUUCUAUAUUUAAUGAAAUUAUCUUUUUAAAAUGGAGGCCAAAAAUACAUUUUUCAGAUCAACAAAAUCUAAGAUAAUUUGAUUGUAACAAAUUUAUACUUCAGGAUGGACAAGAAGUUCUGUCAGCUGAUGAGAAAUGAUGCCAGAUGGUAACUCAGAUAUACAAGAAAUACUGAAAUGUGCUGGAAAUGGUAAAUAUGUGGCUAUUAAUCACUAUACAUUUUUCUUCUCUGAAAAGCUUUAAAAGACAUUAUUUAAGGCAAAGGUGAUACCAUUAUAUUUUUUACUUUAUGACAGAAAUUAAGUAUACAUGACAAUAGCACAAAAAUUGAGUAAAUGGAAAUGUAUGAUUUACUAGAAAUAACCCAAUUUAAAUGGUAAGUAAAUCAUGAUAUGUUAAAGAUGCUUGUUGUCAUCCCUAUCAAAACCACUCAAAAAAUAAAUAAAACAGUGGGGGAAAAAAAGAGCAUAAUGGCAAGCCUAGACAUGGAUGAGCCUGGAUACAUUAAGUGAAAUAAGUCAGCCACAGAAGGAUGAAUAGUGCAUGUUGUCACUUGUGGAAGCUCAAAGAAGUAGCUCAUAGAAGUAGAGCAGAAUUGUGGUAAUUAGAGGCUGAGAGGGAAGGGUAGGGAGGAGAAGAAGAUAAGGAGAGGUUGGUUAAGAGAUACAAAACUACAGAUAAAUAGAAGGAAUAAGUUCUAGUGUUCUCUGGCACUGUAGAGUGAAUAUUAGUUAAGAGUAACUUAUGGUAUAUGUCAAGAAAGCCAGAACAGAGGAUUCUGAAUGUUCCCAGCACAAACAGGUGGUAAACAUUUGAGGUGAUGGAUAUCCUAAUUACCCUGAUUUGAUCAUUACACAUUGUAAUUAUGCAUUGAAAUAUCACUCUAUACUCCCUAAAUAUGUACAAGUAUUACUUGCCAACUAAAAAUAAAAGGGGAAAACACCUAAACAUAUAACCAACUUAAGACCCAGCAAUUGUAUUGGGCAUUUUUUCGCAGACAGGUGAAAAGUUGUGUUCACACAAAAUUCUGUAGAAAAAUGUCUAUAGCAGCUUUAUUUGUAAUAGCCUAAACCUGAAACAACCCAGAUGUUUUUCGCAAGGUGAAUGGUUAAAUAAUAGUGAUCUAUUCAUACCAUGGAAUACUGCUCAGCAAUAGGAUCAAACUAUUGAUACACUCAAGAUCCUGCAUGAAUCUCCAGAGAAUUGUUUGAAUGAAGAAAAGACAAUCCCCAAAGGUUACAUACUGUAUGAUUCCAUUUGUAUAACUGUCUUCAAAUGACAAAAUUAUAGAUAUGGAUGAUUUGUGGUUGCGAGGGGUUAGGGUGGGGUGGGAAUGUGGGGGGAGUAUAGUAUGUGUGGCUGUACAAGGGAUCUCUGUGGUGAUGGAAAUGCUCUCUAUCACCAUUCUAUCAAUGUGAAUUAUCUGGCUGUGAUAUUAUACAAAUGUUCAAGAUGUUACCAUGGCGGAGGACACUGUCUAAAGACUGUACAAGAGCUACUUGUAUUAUCUCUCACUUAAUGUGGAUC
ensembl:lncRNA DPY19L2P3 DPY19L2 pseudogene 3